UUAACUCAAAAACCUAACUAUGAGCUAAACAUGCAUUCUACCCCAUAGAUCUUGCAUAAAACUUACUUUAAACAUGAAAUGAGCUUAAGAUCGGCUCUUACCUCUUGAAGAUCGAGAGAGAGACGUCCUAAACUCGGAGGUGGGAGAUUUUGAGUUCUUGAACCUCAAAGCUCCAAAACUUGCUUUAAACUCAAAAAUCUUCAAAACAAAGCAAAAGCUUGUGAAAAACUUGAAAGAUUUGAAGGAAAGAACUCAAGGAUGGUGAGGAAUGGCGGAAGGACUCACCUUGGCCGAAAAUGGGG
rnacentral:lncRNA from 1 species